AUAUAAUGCAAGCAACAAUAUAGUUUGGGAGAGAUAUAAUAUUAGUUUGUUGUGUUUGAAGGGAUCGGAGUAAGAGAUGUCUUCCGGUUGCAAGUGUGGCUCCGACUGCAAGUGCGGCAGUAACUGUGGAUGUGAAGAGGUGACCACCACCGUUACCAUCAUCAAGGGGGUUGCACCGGUGAAGUUGAGCUUAGAGGGAUCUUCUGAGAAGGCUACAGAGGGGGGACAUGGCUGCAAAUGUGGAUCAAACUGCACCUGUGACCCUUGCAACUGUUAGGGCUAAAAUAGUGCAAAUAUAAUAAUCACCCCUUCAAGCUAUUGAUGAUAUAUGAUGAGUGUAAUAAUAAGCAGAUUGCAGAUGAUGAGUUGUGCAGAUCUUUGUUGAAGUGUCACUUAGAUUUGUGUGAUUCAUUUAUGUUUGGAAUGUGUGGUUGCUUGGGUGUUUGGACUUUAUCCUUAAUGUAUAUUGAAAGAGGUUGACUGUACUGUAUUGAACUAAAAUGGUAUCAAUAAUGUAUGUUGUGUAACUCAUUUUGU